rnacentral:lncRNA from 1 species
UUUUUGUAUGGUAAAAAUUCAUGUUUUAUCGUUUUGCCUCGUUUUGUUUAUAUUUGAUUCCUCUUUAUCUUGGAUGCUUAUUAGACCCUGAAAUUAGCAAGAAACAAACCAAAGCAUAAAACAUGGUAAUGGGAAGUAAGUCGAACGAAAUAAGGUAAAAUACUAAGACAAAAUAACUAGAAAUAACGAUGCAAAGACCACUUAAUAAACUCCCCCAAACUUAGAUUGUUG